GACGAACGCUGGCGGCGUGCCUAAUACAUGCAAGUCGAACGCUUCUUUCCUCCCGAGUGCUUGCACUCAAUUGGAAAGAGGAGUGGCGGACGGGUGAGUAACACGUGGGUAACCUACCCAUCAGAGGGGGAUAACACUUGGAAACAGGUGCUAAUACCGCAUAACAGUUUAUGCCGCAUGGCAUAAGAGUGAAAGGCGCUUUCGGGUGUCGUUGAUGGAUGGACCCGCGGUGCAUUAGCUAGUUGGUGAGGUAACGGCUCACCAAGGCCACGAUGCAUAGCCGACCUGAGAGGGUGAUCGGCCACACUGGGACUGAGACACGGCCCAGACUCCUACGGGAGGCAGCAGUAGGGAAUCUUCGGCAAUGGACGAAAGUCUGACCGAGCAACGCCGCGUGAGUGAAGAAGGUUUUCGGAUCGUAAAACUCUGUUGUUAAAGAAGAACAAGGACGUUAGUAACUGAACGUCCCCUGACGGUAUCUAACCAGAAAGCCACGGCUAACUACGUG
rnacentral:rRNA from 1 species